ANUUCCGNNGGNAUCGANCCUCCAUGCAGUCGAACGGUAACAGGAANCAGCUUGCUNCUUNGCUGACGAGUGGCGGACGGGUGAGUAAUGUCUGGGAAACUGCCUGAUGGAGGGGGAUAACUACUGGAAACGGUAGCUAAUACCGCAUAACGUCGCAAGACCAAAGAGGGGGACCUUCGGGCCUCUUGCCAUCGGAUGUGCCCAGAUGGGAUUAGCUUGUUGGUGGGGUAACGGCUCACCNAGGCGACGAUCCCUAGCUGGUCUGAGAGGAUGACCAGCCACACUGGAACUGAGACACGGUCCAGACUCCUACGGGAGGCAGCAGUGGGGAAUAUUGCACAAUGGGCGCAAGCCUGAUGCAGCCAUGCCGCGUGUAUGAAGAAGGCCUUCGGGUUGUAAAGUACUUUCAGCGGGGAGGAAGGGAGUNAAAAGUUAAUACCUUUUGCUCCAUUGACGUUACCCGCAGAAGAAGCACCCGGCUAACUUCCGUUGCCAGCAGCCGCGGUAAUACGGANGGGUGCAAGCGUUAAUUCGGAAAUUACUGGGGCGUAAAGCGCACGCAGGCGGUUUGUUUAAGUCAGAUGUGAAAUCCCCGGGCUCAACCUGGGAACUGCAUCUGAUACUGGCAAGCUUGAGUCUCGUAGAGGGGGGUAGAAUUCCAGGUGUAGCGGUGAAAUGCGUAGAGAUCUGGAGGAAUACCGGUGGCGAAGGCGGCCCCCUGGACGAAGACUGACGCUCAGGUGCGAAAGCGUGGGGAGCAAACAGGAUUAGAUACCCUGGUAGUCCACGCCGUAAACGAUGUCGACUUGGAGGUUGUGCCCUUGAGGCGUGGCUUCCGGAGCUAACGCGUUAAGUCGACCGCCUGGGGAGUACGGCCGCAAGGUUAAAACUCAAAUGAAUUGACGGGGGCCCGCACAAGCGGUGGAGCAUGUGGUUUAAUUCGAUGCAACGCGAAGAACCUUACCUGGUCUUGACAUCCACAGAACUUUCCAGAGAUGGAUUGGUGCCUUCGGGAACNGUGAGACAGGUGCUGCAUGGCUGUCGUCAGCUCGUGUUGUGAAAUGUUGGGUUAAGUCCCGCAACGAGCGCAACCCUUAUCCUUUGUUGCCAGCGGUCCGGCCGGGAACUCAAAGGAGACUGCCAGUGAUAAACUGGAGGAAGGUGGGGAUGACGUCAAGUCAUCAUGGCCCUUACGACCAGGGCUACACACGUGCUACAAUGGCGCAUACAAAGAGAAGCGACCUCGCGAGAGCAAGCGGACCUCAUAAAGUGCGUCGUAGUCCGGAUUGGAGUCUGCAACUCGACUCCAUGAAGUCGGAAUCGNNUNNNNCUC
rnacentral:rRNA from 1 species